rnacentral:rRNA from 1 species
CCUACGGGUGGCAGCAGUGGGGAAUAUUGGACAAUGGGCGAAAGCCUGAUCCAGCCAUGCCGCGUGUGUGAAGAAGGCCUUCGGGUUGUAAAGCACUUUCAGUGGGGAAGAAAGCCUUAGGGCUAAUACCCUCGAGGAAGGACAUCACCCACAGAAGAAGCACCGGCUAACUCCGUGCCAGCAGCCGCGGUAAUACGGAGGGUGCGAGCGUUAAUCGGAAUUACUGGGCGUAAAGCGCGCGUAGGCGGUCUGAUAAGCCGGUUGUGAAAGCCCCGGGCUCAACCUGGGAACGGCAUCCGGAACUGUCAGGCUAGAGUGCAGGAGAGGAAGGUAGAAUUCCCGGUGUAGCGGUGAAAUGCGUAGAGAUCGGGAGGAAUACCAGUGGCGAAGGCGGCCUUCUGGACUGACACUGACGCUGAGGUGCGAAAGCGUGGGUAGCAAACAGGAUUAGAUACCCUUGUAGUC